rnacentral:lncRNA from 1 species
GAUGGAGGUAACGUUAGCGAGAAGGAGACUGCAGAAGCACCUGGAGCCGGCUCGACCCCUGCGGCGCAGCACCGUUGACCAGGGGUCUGAUGAUGGAUCCGCAGACACACCUGCGGGCACACCGGUGGAGCAUGAACAGAAGAAUAUUACUGUAGAGCAAUUCUACAGUAUAAUUCGCCUACACACACCGAAGCAAGGGAGAAUAUCCUACACGAGAGAGGUUCUAUGUGAGCUGGCAUCCUCACCUGUGGCCAAGAAAAAGCCUAAAUAUUUACCAGAGCACCCCAUAGUUUUGGAAAAGGCGGGAGAACAUCAUCUCGUGCUUCAGGAAACUAGAAAGGAAUCACUUUGAACUUUGGGUGAAAAGAAAAAUCUACAAUAAUUGUACUUUUGUUUCUUUUUUUGAUAUUUUAUUAAAAUACUUGAAAAUCAUUUUUAGGCAUGGCCUUUUCUGACAAAUUUGCUGCUGAAUUGAUUUAUGUUACACAAUUAAAAUUGUAUAUUGUUUAAAUCUCUUUUGGCCUACUUUGUUGAGAAUAUGAUUCUUUGAAAUUAGUUACAGGUUUCUAUUUUCAUUUGAUUUUUUAGUUUAGUUUGGUACAAGCAAACUAUUCAUAUAAAUGUGUAUAUAUAUAUACAUUUAUAUGAAUAAAUGUAUAUAUAUAUAUAUAUAU